rnacentral:rRNA from 1 species
AUACGUAGGGUGCGAGCGUUGUCCGGAAUUACUGGGCGUAAAGAGCUCGUAGGUGGUUUGUCGCGUCGUCUGUGAAAUUCCGGGGCUUAACUCCGGGCGUGCAGGCGAUACGGGCAUAACUUGAGUACUGUAGGGGAGACUGGAAUUCCUGGUGUAGCGGUGAAAUGCGCAGAUAUCAGGAGGAACACCGGUGGCGAAGGCGGGUCUCUGGGCAGUAACUGACGCUGAGGAGCGAAAGCAUGGGUAGCGAACAGGAUUAGAUACCCUGGUAGUCCAUGCCGUAAACGGUGGGCGCUAGGUGUAGGGGUCUUCCACGACUUCUGUGCCGUAGCUAACGCAUUAAGCGCCCCGCCUGGGGAGUACGGCCGCAAGGCUAAGACUCAAAUGAAUUGACGGGG